rnacentral:rRNA from 1 species
GCGAGAGAGAGCUUGCUUUCUCGAGCGAGUGGCGAACGGGUGAGUAACGCGUGAGGAACCUGCCUCAAAGAGGGGGACAACAGUUGGAAACGACUGCUAAUACUGCAUAAGCCCACGGGUCGGCAUCGACCAGAGGGAAAAGGAGCAAUCCGCUUUGAGAUGGCCUCGCGUCCGAUUAGCUAGUUGGUGAGGUAACGGCCCACCAAGGCAACGAUCGGUAGCCGGACUGAGAGGUUGAACGGCCACAUUGGGACUGAGACACGGCGCAGACUCCUACGGGAGGCAGCAGUGGGGAAUAUUGCACAAUGGGGGAAACCCUGAUGCAGCGACGCCGCGUGGAGGAAGAAGGUCUUCGGAUUGUAAACUCCUGUUGUUGGGGAAGAUAAUGACGGUACCCAACAAGGAAGUGACGGCUAACUACGUGCCAGCAGCCGCGGUAAAACGUAGGUCACAAGCGUUGUCCGGAAUUACUGGGUGUAAAGGGAGCGCAGGCGGGAAGACAAGUUGGAAGUGAAAUCUAUGGGCUCAACCCAUAAACUGCUUUCAAAACUGUUUUUCUUGAGUAGUGCAGAGGUAGGCGGAAUUCCCGGUGUAGCGGUGGAAUGCGUAGAUAUCGGGAGGAACACCAGUGGCGAAGGCGGCCUACUGGGCACCAACUGACGCUGAGGCUCGAAAGUGUGGGUAGCAAACAGGAUUAGAUACCCUGGUAGUCCACACCGUAAACGAUGAUUACUAGGUGUUGGAGGAUUGACCCCUUCAGUGCCGCAGUUAACACAAUAAGUAAUCCACCUGGGGAGUACGAC